CAGCCGCCGCGGGAAUACGUAUGUCGCGAGCGUUAUCCGGAAUUAUUGGGCAUAAAGGGCAUCUAGGCGGCCGGAUAAGUCUGGGGUGAAAACUUGCGGCUCAACCGCAAGCCUGCCCUGGAAACUAUGCGGCUAGAGUACUGGAGAGGUGGACGGAACUGCACGAGUAGAGGUGAAAUUCGUAGAUAUGUGCAGGAAUGCCGAUGAUGAAGAUAGUCCACUGGACGGUAACUGACGCUGAAGUGCGAAAGCUAGGGGAGCAAACAGGAUUAGAUACCCCGGUAGUCCCUGUCUCUUAUAC
rnacentral:rRNA from 1 species